UGGGGAAUAUUGGACAAUGGGCGCAAGCCUGAUCCAGCAAUGCCGCGUGAGUGAUGAAGGCCUUAGGGUUGUAAAGCUCUUUCGCACGCGACGAUGAUGACGGUAGCGUGAGAAGAAGCCCCGGCUAACUUCGUGCCAGCAGCCGCGGUAAUACGAAGGGGGCUAGCGUUGUUCGGAAUUACUGGGCGUAAAGGGCGCGUAGGCGGCCUGUUUAGUCAGAAGUGAAAGCCCCGGGCUCAACCUGGGAAUAGCUUUUGAUACUGGCAGGCUUGAGUUCCGGAGAGGAUGGUGGAAUUCCCAGUGUAGAGGUGAAAUUCGUAGAUAUUGGGAAGAACACCGGUGGCGAAGGCGGCCAUCUGGACGGACACUGACGCUGAGGCGCGAAAGCGUGGGGAGCAAACAGAUUAGAUACCCUGGUAGUCCACGCCGUAAACGAUGAAUGCUAGACGUCGGGGUGCAUGCACUUCGGUGUCGCCGCUAACGCAUUAAGCAUUCCGCCUGGGGAGUACGGCCGCAA
rnacentral:rRNA from 1 species